ACACACAGAACAGAAUGACCCUCUGUGAUAAGUGGUGCCGUCAGGUUUCAGAGGACACGCUGACGAGUCAGUCGUUCAUCUGUCUCUCUCUGUCUCUCUCUCUCACACACACACACACACACACACACACACAGUGUAGCCAGGAUAAACACUUCCUUCCGUGGCUGCAGGUGCAGGACAUGUCCCACUGUUUUUUUGUUGUUGUUUUUUUUCUUUUUCAUCAUGACACCGUUUUUUCCCCCUCGGUUCCUUUGUUCCUGCUCGUCCACGGCUUGCGUAAUUAUCACUGCCAUUUUUCUUUUAAAACACAGAAGAAGAAUACAGAAAGGAGAGCACUGCCAAAGCCAAGAGCAAUAAUCUCUCUCUCUCUCUCUCUCUCUCUCUCUCUCUCUCUCUCUCUUUCAUUCUCCUAUUCUCUCCUUUUCCAUUAGGACUCCCCCCAUCAUAAUGCCUGAGUGUUCUUUUUCAUUUGGUCGCCGCUUUUGUCCUUUAAUGUUAAUCAUAUUGUGUGUGUGUGUGUGUGUGUGUGUGUGUGUGAGUGCGAAUAAUAUGUAUGGGGUUGGAAAAAAUGACUGACUGAAAGAGAAGGAUGAAUGAGAGACAGAAUGAAUGCAGAGAGAGAGAGAGAGAGAGGGAGAGGGAGGGAGGUCAGGGCGUCUCGCUCCUCUCAUUCAGCGGCUCUUAACUCACCUAUUCAUGCUCUGCCGGGCCUGCUGUGUGUCAUCAUGAACUUUUACCUCACCCACUGUGUGUGUGUGUGUGUGUGUGUGUGUGUGUGUGUGUGUGUGUGCGCGUUUCUCCUCAACCUACACUCUAAAAAAACACAGGGAUAAAACCAGCCCAAAUGGGGUUAUUUUUAGCCCAUCGGCUGGGUAAAUAUAGGACAGGGCACAUUUUGGGUUAAACUAACCCCGCACGUCGGGGUGUUCAUCUGAACCCGGAGGAUUAUCAAACAGCCUCCGUUACGAAUUUCCCGGCCAACAUAAGGUACUGUUUUCCAGCGAGUACAUUUCGGAGAGCUCCGUGCGUAAAUAUGACGCGCUCAGCCAGGCGUUUUCAGCAGCGUUAACGCUAUAUCGUGAUGAGCGCUGAAACUUACCGCCGGUCGUUUGGGUUUCCUCGCCUCAGGACUCCGACCCGACAAUCAGAAGGUCAACGCAGCGGACGUUCAGCGUGAGGCGAGUUCCGAGUCGACGCUGACGGCUGCGGCGGACGAUACGUUAACACGUGUCGUGUCGGUCAUUCGUGUGAAUUGACACGUUUAUCGGGUAAUUGACCACACUGUGUGUAUCACGAAGAGCGUGUAGGAUGUCAACACGUCCUUUCUCCAAAUAACUCCAACGGUCUGAAACCCGCUACCUCCACCUGAGGCGGAUCCAAACGGUCCACAGAACUGGGCUGAGGAGUCAGGGUGGGGGAGGGGUGCAUUGAUUCAGAAUGACCCAGCGGAUGGGUUACAGGAAACUACCCCGAAAACUACCCCAAAACUACCCGAGACUGAGAGAAUACCCCGGGUAAAUGACCCGGGAGCUGAACCCGACGUUGGGGUAGAGAAGAGCCCGGCGUUACACUGUAACGGGACGAAGGUUUCUCCCAGUCAGACGUGUGAAGAGGUUUUACUUCCGGUCGCGCGGCAUAAUAAAUAUCUCUUUCUUUCCUUCUAGCUCUUUUUCUGUCCUAUCCUUUCUUUCCUUUCCACUUUUCUUCUUCUUUACUCUUUCUUUCUUUCCUGUCUUGUGUGUUAUUUUCUGCCCUUUAUUCCAUGGUAUUUUUCAUCUAAGAUGAAACCCAGACUCUUUCUCUCUUUCUUUCUUUCUUUCUGUCUGCCCCUUUUUAUUUCCUUUCCUUAUUUCUUUUUCACCUUUAACUUUUUUUCCCUUCUUCAUUUUUUUCUGUACCCCUUUAGUUUUCCUCUUUUUUCUGUGUUUUUUUUAUAUUUAUUUUAUUCCCGUCCUUCCUUAUUUUAUUUUUUUUCUUAUUAUUUUCUAUCCUUUUUGUUUCUUUUCUGUUGUUUUUGUUCCUUCUGCCUUUAAUUCUUUUUUUUUAUUUCCUUCGAUCUUUCCUUUCAUUUUUCUUUUAUUCUUUCUGUGUUUUUUCUUUCUUUAUAUAUUUUCCCUCUUUUGUUUCUUCAAUUUUUUUAAAAAUUUUUUUUUUGUUUAUUCUUUCUUUUUAUCACUUAUGAAAGAUGAAACCGGAGCACUGGGGUAAAAAAAUGUUUUGUUUUGUUGUUUUUUUAUUAAAUCUGUAUUCUUUCUUUCGUUCUUUCUUUCUUUCUGUGUGCAGUGACACCGGUAUCAUGGCUCUAACUCACUCAGGCUCUCUCUUCUCUCUUAACAAGCUCCAGUUUCAGCUCAUACUCAUCACUCACCCCUCUCUCUCCCUCUCUCUCUCUCUCUCUCUCUCUCUCUCUCUGUCUCUCGCUCUCUGGUUGUCAGCUGUCUCACUGCCAGGAUGAUGAAUGAGUCUCUCUCUCACUGGCCCCAGUCUGGGUCAGAGUUCACUCUCAAUUAUAGUACUUACUGAGCUGUGGGUUCAGCAGGGUCUCUACAGCGAGAGAGAGAGAGAGAGAGAGAGAGAGAGAGAGAGAGAUAAGAAAGAGAUGUCAGGAGACUCAGCACUGCUCUUCAGAUGCUGUUUGGAUGAGCAGAUUUCUUACGUUUGUGUGCUACAUUAUGUGUUACUGCACUUACUACUGGCUGUCAGUCAGCCUGUGCGUUACCAUGGCGACACAGCGCUCGAUCCAGUUGUGGCUUCUCUGUGAAAUAUUUUCAUCGACGGAGCACAAUUCGAUUUUUCAGAACAAUUCACCGAAAAGGCUCGUACAGGUGUGUGUUCACAUAACUUCUUUCCUUCUGUUUCUGUUCCUUCGCUCCUGUAUUUCUACUUCUUUCUUUUAUCCUUUCCUCCGUCUCGAUUUCUUUCUUUUAUUCUUUUCCUCUUUGUCUCCCUCUCUUUCCUUCUGCAUUUCAUUCUUACAGUUUUCUUUCCGUUUCCUCUUCUUUCCUUCCUUUUUUAACUGCUUUCUCCCUUGUUUUUUUCGAACUCCUUAUUUUUUUCUUUUCUUUUCUCUUUCUUUCUUUCUUUGUGAGUUGGAUGUUGUGAAAGCAUGCGUUUGACUCUUUUUAAAGCUACAUUUUAAACACGUAUAAAUGAUUGUUGUUGUUUAUUUGUGUAAAUAGUUUGGGAAGUUUGUAUUACAGAUGAUCUGGUCGAGCGUCUUGGCAUUAGUGUCAGUGACAUUCUUACGAUGUUCAUUAUAAUAUCAGUCAGACUCGACGCUGUCUGAUGAUGUCAUUACGCUUUACUGAGUUCUGAUUGGCUGUUUCACUCCAUCAGCGCUGAAACAGGAAGUGGAGAGCCUGCGGGAAGAUCUGCAGAAAAGUCACAGUGAGAGGGAGCGGGUGGAGAGACUACUGGAAAGUAAAAGGGAAGAGGAAGAGGGAAGACGCUCACGGCUGCAGCAGCAGUAUGACGAGCAGAGCGCCACCAUACUGAGUCUGUCCCAAGACCUGAGGGAAAAGGAGACGAGCUGGUUGUCAUGCCAACGCCGAUGCGAGUCCCUGCAGCAGCAGCUGUUGACGUGGAAACGGAAGGAGGCGGAGACGAGGCGGGAACUGGAAGGAGCGCUGAGGGAGGGUCAGAAGAUAAGAGACGAGAGGUGCGUGCACACACACACACACACACACACACACACACACACAGGUGUUUCAACACAUUUCAACAAACAUCAGUGCAUCAAAGGAAACUCUUUUACUUUCUCACCCCCUCUCUCGUACUCUUCCCCGUGUGUGUGUUUGGGGCGUGUCCCAACCUGUCAGCUGUGUCUCCGCACUCACACACCUGUCCCCGUGGCCCAUAAAGGCGAGUGCCAGAGCAGCAGAGUCACCGACGCAAGACAGCAUCCAAGUUCAUAACUUCACACACACAUUAACAUGAUGAAUAUUUAUUUGUCGGAAUCUGACAUGAAAUGAAUAAUGAAUAAUCAUCGGCUCAUUCCUUUCUUUACAUCGUGUCCCAGUACAGAGACAACGAUAUGUAACGUGUGGAAUAUUUAUACAUACGUGAACGACACCUAUGGGCGAAUCGUGCUGUAGUUUGGAGAAAGGGUCGAAGGUUAAAUCGAAUGGAGGAAAGCACUAGAAGGUUGUCCAACUUUCUCGCUUUCUUCCUUUUUAAAAGUAAUUUACGAUUUCUUUCUUUUUUUUUUUUUUUUGCGUGUGGAAACUAUUGUUCAUAUCGUACGCUGUUGAGAUUCUUCCAACAGCACGCAUCACUCGCUCAGCGACGGGGGAAGUGGAUACGCGCGCUAUGGGGACUAACUAAACAACAACUGCCUGCAAGAUCUGAGGUGUCCGAGGUGUCGAUCCAGAUGAGAUUGUACUGGGCGCCGGUCUGUGUGUAGUUUGUUCUGUAAAGACAGAGACAUGGAGGGAAAUCAAUCACACGGGAGCACCUGGAAAUGAUGGAAUAACUCCAGGUCCUGAUCUAAUCCCAUCCAAACAAGGCUUUUGUGUGCAUUCCCAUUUUCCUGAGCUGGUCAGGUCAGUGCUUGUUCUGUGUGUGUGUGUGUGUGUGUGCGUGUGCGUGUUUCAGUUGUGUCCCAGCUGUUGUUUGUUGUCAGUCAGGUGUCUCGUGUAUCGUCACCCUCACAGCCAUUUAGUCUCUUUAUGCAUCACUGAAUAGACUGCAGGGACACAUCUACCCAUCUAUCCAUCUAUCUAUCUAUCCAUCUGUCCAUCUACCCAUCUAUCCAUCUAUCUGUCCAUCUACCCAUCUAUCCAUCUAUCUAUCUAUCUAUCUAUCUAUCCAUCUGUCCAUCUACCCAUCUAUCCAUCUAUCUAUCUACCCAUCUAUCCAUCUAUCCAUCUAUCCAUCUGUCCAUCUACCCAUCUAUCCAUCUACCCAUCUAUCCAUCUAUCUAUCCAUCUAUCCA